CGAAAAAAAUGUGUAGAUCGUGCCGCCACGGCAGCGGCAAACAACAGCAAUUACACGGACACUGCACUGGCGCAGCUGUACGCGCACAUUCAGAGCCUUCCGGAGUCCUCCAAGAAGCGUCGCCUCAUCAAGCAGCUUAACAAGCAAAACGGACAAGGCACACCGCUGCAGGUCAUCGCGAGGAGCUCCAGCGUGCCAUAAGGGAGCAUCACGAGAAGCAUGAUGCCAAAAUGAUGCGCGCCAUGGAGGAGGCAGAGCGUAAGAAGUAGAAAUCCAUAUGGAUCACUGCACCCAGCCGUUUCGUUAUAUAACACCAUUCCGAUCAUCCUGCAGCUAUGCCAUAAAUGCGGCUAAACUGAAACUGUAAACACUUUUGUAUGCGACGUAAUAAAGACUUGAAUGUACCCAAAGCACUAA